rnacentral:rRNA from 1 species
GACGAACGCUGGCGGCGUGCUUAACACAUGCCAGUCGAACGGAAAGGCCCUGCUUUUGUGGGGUGCUCGAGUGGCGAACGGGUGAGUAACACGUGAGUAACCUGCCCUUGACUUUGGGAUAACUUCAGGAAACUGGGGCUAAUACCGGAUAGGAGCUCCUGCUGCAUGGUGGGGGUUGGAAAGUUUCGGCGGUUGGGGAUGGACUCGCGGCUUAUCAGCUUGUUGGUGGGGUAGUGGCUUACCAAGGCUUUGACGGGUAGCCGGCCUGAGAGGGUGACCGGCCACAUUGGGACUAAGAUACGGCCCAGACUCCUACGGGAGGCAGCAGUGGGGAAUAUUGCACAAUGGGCGGAAGCCUGAUGCAGCAACGCCGCGUGCGGGACGACGGCCUUCGGGUUGUAAACCGCUUUCGCCUGUGACGAAGCGUGAGUGACGGUAAUGGGUAAAGAAGCACCGGCUAACUACGUG